UACGAAGGGGGCUAGCGUUGCUCGGAAUCACUGGGCGUAAAGCGCACGUAGGCGGCUUUUUAAGUCAGGGGUGAAAUCCCGGAGCUCAACUCCGGAACUGCCUUUGAUACUGAAGAGCUUGAGUUCGGGAGAGGUGAGUGGAACUGCGAGUGUAGAGGUGAAAUUCGUAGAUAUUCGGAAGAACACCAGUGGCGAAGGCGACUUACUGGACACAUAUUGACGCUGAGGUGCGAAAGCGUGGGGAGCAAACAGG
rnacentral:rRNA from 1 species